UACGAGGGGGGGCGAGCGUUGUUCGGAAUUAUUGGGCGUAAAGGGCGCGUAGGCGGUCGGAUAAGUCUUGUGUGAAAUCUUCGGGCUCAACUCGAAGUCUGCACGAGAAACUGUCUGGCUUGAGUGUGGGAGAGGUGAGUGGAAUUCCUGGUGUAGCGGUGAAAUGCGUAGAUAUCAGGAGGAACACCUGUGGCGAAAGCGGCUCACUGGACCACAACUGACGCUGAGGCGCGAAAGCUAGGGGGAGCAAACAGG
rnacentral:rRNA from 1 species